rnacentral:lncRNA from 1 species
UGCGGUGUCUGGUUGAGGCUUGGGUGGUAUAAACAAUUAUCUGUGUGUCUUGUAGGUUGGUAGUACAACGAUUGUCCUAUUUGUCUAUACAGAAUGUCUGUUGUUGGCUGAUUGUUAUGCUUCAAUUGAUAUAUAUCUUGAUCAUUUAUUCUUGAAUGUUGUGUUGUAUUGUUUUAAACAGAAAUGUGGUUUUGGACAUAAUCUUGGUUUGUCCAAUUUGGAACAACUUCUAUAAGGUUAUCCUUGCAGAUGUUUCGAGUCUCUAGUU